UUUGCUUCAUGGUGAAAGACUGAAAGACGGCAUCUCGCUGUCGCUAUAGGAUGGGCCCGCGGCGCAUUAGCUAGUUGGUGAGGUAACGGCUCACCAAGGCGACGAUGCGUAGCCGACCUGAGAGGGUGAUCGGCCACACUGGGACUGAGACACGGCCCAGACUCCUACGGGAGGCAGCAGUAGGGAAUCUUCCACAAUGGGCGAAAGCCUGAUGGAGCAACGCCGCGUGAGUGAAGAAGGUUUUCGGAUCGUAAAACUCUGUUGUAAGGGA
rnacentral:rRNA from 1 species